rnacentral:tRNA from 1 species
AGGGGUAUAGCUCAGUCGUAGAGCAUAUGCUUAGCAUGCACAAGGUCCUGGGUUCAGUCCCCAGUACCUCCA